AAAAAAAAAAGUCCUAGGUAAUUAAAAUAUCAUUCCAAAUACAUUUGAAGGUUUAGAAAUACCCUUGAACUUCCCAUUUGGAGUUGAAAUAUCCAGCCCCACUUCCUGCAUUCUUUGUACCUGAGUAGCCUAAUUUGCCUAUUAGGAGAGGAUCUAGGGUGACUCUUUACAGUUUAGCUCUGAGAUCAUCUUUUCAUUGGUUUGUACUUGUACUUGUUUGCUUUGUUCAUAGUUAAACUGCAUUAAAAGUUCAGAUACGAACAAGGAGUUGUUAACAUGUGUGGGUCCACUGGGAAAACACCUAAGGAAUGUUUUGACCCCAGACUAGCUGAGAGAGCAGCUGGGCCACACACUCAGAAUCACACAGCAUGUUGCUGCAAGAUGUCACUUGCAAUCUUGUCUGCAUCCACUUUUAAAUAAAGGUGCAUGGUCUGGAAUGAAAAGCCAACUUAGUAAAUUCAGACCUACUCUUUUGGGAAAAGUUAUGUUGUAGUGUGUGUGAGGUAAGGGUGGAGGGCGCAUCAGCCCCGCCUGCAACCUCGGGUCACUGUGGUACCUGGCUGUGCCAUCACAAAAUCCAGCCUCACUGUCUUUUCUGUGGGAAGGGAGUUUGAACAGGGGCCGCUGAAUUGGGAAACUCUGAAGGAGUCUCUCCCCUCCAGCCAGCCACACUUUGGAACACGGAGUGGAGUUCCAGCCCCAUGGUGGCUCAGGCAAUCGUGACCCUAAAAACAGUCUGCUGGCAUUAAACGCUUCAGUGCUUGAGUCCCAGUCAUGACUACGGGAACUAACACUAACCUGUGUCACACAGGCUGACAGUUUGGAAACACUGGCGACUCUGCGACAGACCCAAAUGGCCCUUUUUACCCAGCCCCAGCUGGGAUGAGAAGUAGAAUUCAGUGUGCCGUAAAAACCAGUGAUGUGCUACAGUCUCUGUGCAAGCCGCAUGAACAAGGUGGCCAUGUGGGCCGACGGCACCUAUUUUUUUGUGAAAAGACACUAAGAGAGUUAAAUGCCCAAAGCCUAACCAUGUCAGUUUCUCCAAGAGCAGAGUGUAGGGGCAGGGGGCUUUCAGGAAAGACGGCCUUCCAGCCCCACCGCACUGUCUGCAAUGAGGGUAACUCUGCCUUUGACUCUGGCAGAUCUGCAGCCUCAUGCGAGGGGGAAUAGCUGAGAGAGGAGGCGUCCGUGUGGGGCACCGGAUCAUUGAAAUCAAUGGACAGAGCGUCGUGGCCACCCCCCACGAGAAGAUCGUCCACAUUCUCUCCAAUGCUGUUGGGGAGAUUCAUAUGAAGACAAUGCCAGCCGCGAUGUACAGGCUGCUGACGGCCCAGGAGCAGCCUGUUUACAUCUGACCGCGGCCACACGCGGUGGCAUGCAUGGAGGACUCUCCUCUUCGUGGUUGUGUUUCUCGUGCUGCAUCCCUGUGUCCACUGAGACUUUCCCCUCUCGCGCCCAGCAUUUGGUUUUACACAGGAAGAGAAGAAUCCACAAGGACCUCUUUACUCUCUCCGAUUUGCUUUUUUUUUUUUUUUUUUUUCAAUACCAGGGAAGUUUCGUAUGCACUCCCUUGAGGAUGGAGAGCAGCCAGCACCCACCUGGUACUGACCCAGGACCAUCCUGGAGGGCUUUCUGGGUGUGUCCAGGGGGUGGGCUGUCACUGCUUGAGGGAGAAUCCUCCCUUCCCAGGAGGUGCAGACUUCUUAAAAGGAGCUCGCGGGGCAGCAAAGCAGCUGAUUCAGCAGUGCCUAAAACCCAGUUGCUGAUCCCUGCUCUCUGAGUUUAUCUGUGGGAAUGUGGUAGUACCCAGGGCCAGCCCACGUCAUUAAGGUUAUGCACUGCCUGCCAUGUAGUUGGGGCACCAUACAUUAUUUCUUCCCAGAAUCUCUGAGCCAACCUUAAACCUCUUCUAUUGCUAGUUCUAAUUUCAACGUAUGUGUGUUUUCUAAUACGAGCCUUCUCACCCCAGGAUAAAAGGGGAAAUAACUGCCUUGGGCAAGGACACCAUAGUGUCACAGAGAGCUUGGCAAUUCAUGGGGCAUCUGAAGCUUUACCAGGUUGUCCUCAAGUUAUCAACCAUUAGAUAAACACAGGCAGGUACUGUCUGCUUCUCUCUCUCUCACACACACACACACACACACAGUCCCAUUUGCAUAUCACCCUUCCCUGCUCCCACCACCAGUGAGACAAGCUGAAGAUUAGGCACACAGAUCCCCUGGAAACCCACCUCUCUGGAAGGCCCCUUCCCUGGCAGGUGGCCAGGCAGGCGGGGGCUGCUCAGCCUCAUCCUGAGAGACCUGCCCUCUCUGCGCUGAGGCCCAGCCCCUCCAGCACCACUUUGGCUUAAAGCAUCCUCCUCCUGGACUCCCCUCCCUGCCGAACACACAUCCCAGGAGUCUGGGAAGGAGGGACUGUUCCCAAGAAGGCAAGCUGCAGGUGCAAUUGCGUCUUGUUUUCUGGCCCAAGGCAAGACCAACUUUCUUCUCUGCUCAGGGCCACUAGGCGGAUGUGAUAUUGGAAAGGCCAGAAUAGUACAUAAACCACAAAAUUAAGGAGACAAUAGCAACCUCAAGUUAUGCCUCAGAAUCCCCAGAUGUGGUCCAUAAACACCCUCUUGCUGCCUUGUGGGCCUGAGAGCAUUUUUGGCUGGUGUGGAAUUGUUCCGUGUUUUCAUCAGGUGCCUCAUAUUUAUGCUUCCGUCUCAGUUCAGUGUAGAUGUUUUAGUAAUAUUAUAAUUCUGAGCCAGUUUUCACUUGGUCCAAAGAGCAUUUUGUGUUCAUGUGAGGUGUGAUUUGGCUUUGCUUUUGUUUUGUUUCAUUCAUGACCUCAGUAGAGACAGGGGAAGAGAAACUAUUAUAUUUUGUAAUUAAUAUAGUCCCUGUUCUCUGCAUCCGAGAUAUUUAUGUUGUGUCUAUGGAAAUAGGAACUCAGUGAGCAAAUGGUGGGUAGCAUGUAUUUAUAGAGAGAAUGGAGGGAUUCUAAGGAGGGAGCAAAGUGACUAUAACAAGAUUAGGGACAAGAGACUUCAACCAGAGAGUUCUGUGAUCAAUUCCCCGAGAUCUCUGCAUCUUCUGAGUUUUCUGCUUAGAAUCAGGGAAGCUCAGUGCUUGACAGGAACGAGCAGUGGCACUCUCAGUUUCACUGUGUUACAAAGGAGCCCUGAGGAAGGGAGGCCGCUGGCUGCCCAGGUGCCCUGGGGGGAAAGGGACUUCUGCUGCUGCAGAGAGUGGCACCCGGUGGGGCCAGGGGCUCUGGGAUGGUCCGUAAAGCUCCCCAGGACUUCUUUGAAGGAUGCUUUACAGAAUGUUUCUGGGAGACCAGCCUCAAGGUCAACCCAUCACAAACGUGAGGACCAGGAAGGAACCAUGGCCAGGGUUCUCCAUUUGCUGUAGAGUAUCUGGUGAUACAGUGAGACACUAAAGAGUCAUCAGCCAGUUCAUCUUUCCUCUGCCAAUAAGAGUGGAUAGAACAGGAAUGAAGUGUUACUGGUGGUAUUUCAGGCAUCAGGAGCCUUGGAAAAUCAUCGUAGGGGCCCAUGCCUGUCUGUCCCUAGGCACCUGGGCAGUGCCACAGAGGCCCGCCCACGACUGGCCAGGGGACAGAACUCCAGUAGUGCAUCCCUGUACAACCUGCACAUAACGGUUAUGUAUGUUCACCUAAAGGAGAGAAUAUACUUUCUAUUCCUAUUGCACAAAAACCUUGUAAACUUUGAGAGGUGCUGAAAAAGCCAAUUCUGCAAGCUCUCCUAGAGGACUGACAUUGUAACAUUAGAGUGAGAAGAUUUCUCUGCCACAUUCUUUUGUGUUAAUCCAGGUGUGUCUUCACACCCAGUGAGUGGAAGUUGCUGGAGCUCGGUACAGGUCCACCCAGCUGAAGUGGGUUCUUUUUCCCACUACCACUGGGGCAAGGGAGUGAGCCUAGGUAUGGUCACCUCAGCAGCCACAGUCUUAAAAGCAAGUCGCUAGAUUUUUUGAAAGUCCCAAGAGAAGUGGUGGUCUUCCCUUCUGUCAUCCCAGUAUAUAUAGUUAUACAUGUAAAUAUCUAAAUACCCCAUGUAAUGGGAAGGCUAUGUACAGGGCAGCCUUCCCAAACGCUGUGAGGGCACAGAGCUGCUGUGGCUGCUCCACCAGGGUGUGCUGGUGGCUCAGCUUUGGGGUUGGACUCCCACGUUCACCUCCCCCUCCUGGUCCAGGCAGAGGCACCAGAACCCAUCCUGCCUUUUCUCCAGUGUGAGCAUUUCAGGGAGCCACCAUCAGCCUUGGGUUCAUGAGAGGAAGAAACCCCCAAAGACCAAUGCCUGGAGCCCACUUCUCCAGCGACACCUUCCCUCGCCAGAGCAGGCUCCUAGGAGUGCAUGGCAGGGGUGCCGGGUCCCUGUGCACGGGUUUGCUUUCUGAACAUUGCCCAUCAACACCGCCUUCAGGGAGUCCCAGAGUAACCUACUACCUCCCCCAUCGCUCCUCUGCCCCCCUCACCCUGUGGGCACCAACACCUCCCGCACACAGAUGAAAACCAUCUACAGAGCCCUUCCCGGGUCCCUCGACCCAGUGGUGUAGCCGUUACCAAUGUUUACAACCAGGGGCCGCCCCUCCUUAGAUGUGUUUACUCGCAUUCACAGGCCACCUGUUGGUUUGAGUUUCAUGUGUCUCCUUCCCUGGCCUAGGUUGACUUGAGCACACAACUCGAUCUUUCUUCCCCUCCAUCAAGGCAGUGUGUGAGGACUGUGUGGGAAUGACAUUUCUUGUACAUACUUAGCACAGCACCUAGAGUAUGAACUUGUACUAUUGUUCUGUAAAGAGGGUGAAAUAGAGCUUAUUGUAAAGUGUCGGGAGAAGUAUAGUAUUGUAUUUGUAACAAUAUCGUUCUUUGUAUACACAAAACUCAAUGAUCUAUAUAUAAAUAUAAAUAAAUAUAUAAAUAAAAUAUAUCUACACGUGAGCCUGGAAUGUGGACACCGCACACCCACUGAAUGUACUUCCUUGACAGUCUGGUCACUGGUCCCUCCCUCCCUCCCUCCUCCGUCCCGUGGCCACAGUCAUCCAGUUUGGGGUUGUGAUGUAUUUACUGUGCUAUCUAUCUUCCUUUAUUUAACUGAACGCUAAUGUCUGUAUAAGAGUUGCUGCAACAAUAAACAAGAACUUCACCUCUUG